rnacentral:rRNA from 1 species
ACGCGAGGAACCUUACCAGGUCUUGACAUCCUCUGACACUCCUAGAGAUAGGACGUUCCCCUUCGGGGGACAGAGUGACAGGUGGUGCAUGGUUGUCGUCAGCUCGUGUCGUGAGAUGUUGGGUUAAGUCCCGCAACGAGCGCAACCCUUGAUCUUAGUUGCCAGCAUUCAGUUGGGCACUCUAAGGUGGCUGCCGGUGACAAACCGGAGGAAGGUGGGGAUGACGUCAAAUCAUCAUGCCCCUUAUGACCUGGGCUACACACGUGCUACAAUGGACGGUACAAACGGUUGCCAACCCGCGAGGGGGAGCUAAUCCGAUAAAACCGUUCUCAGUUCGGAUUGUAGGCUGCAACUCGCCUACAUGAAGCCGGAAUCGCUAGUAAUCGCGGAUCAGCAUGCCGCGGUGAAUACGUUCCCGGGCCUUGCACACACCGCCCGU